ACGGGUGAGUAACACGUGGGUAACCUGCCUGUAAGACUGGGAUAACUCCGGGAAACCGGAGCUAAUACCGGAUAGUUCCUUGAACCGCAUGGUUCAAGGAUGAAAGACGGUUUCGGCUGUCACUUACAGAUGGACCCGCGGCGCAUUAGCUAGUUGGUGAGGUAACGGCUCACCAAGGCGACGAUGCGUAGCCGACCUGAGAGGGUGAUCGGCCACACUGGGACUGAGACACGGCCCAGACUCCUACGGGAGGCAGCAGUAGGGAAUCUUCCGCAAUGGACGAAAGUCUGACGGAGCAACGCCGCGUGAGUGAUGAAGGUUUUCGGAUCGUAAAGCUCUGUUGUUAGGGAAGAACAAGUGCAAGAGUAACUGCUUGCACCUUGACGGUACCUAACCAGAAAGCCACGGCUAACUACGUGCCAGCAGCCGCGGUAAUACGUAGGUGGCAAGCGUUGUCCGGAAUUAUUGGGCGUAAAGGGCUCGCAGGCGGUUUCUUAAGUCUGAUGUGAAAGCCCCCGGCUCAACCGGGGAGGGUCAUUGGAAACUGGGAAACUUGAGUGCAGAAGAGGAGAGUGGAAUUCCA
rnacentral:rRNA from 1 species